rnacentral:rRNA from 1 species
AUUGAACGCUGGCGGCAGGCUUAACACAUGCAAGUCGAGCGGAGCGAGGGUGCUUGCACCUUAGCUUAGCGGCGGACGGGUGAGUAAUGCUUAGGAAUCUGCCUAUUAGUGGGGGACGACAUUCCGAAAGGAAUGCUAAUACCGCAUACGCCCUACGGGGGAAAGCAGGGGAUCUUCGGACCUUGCGCUAAUAGAUGAGCCUAAGUCGGAUUGGCUAGUUGGUGGGGUAAAGGCCUACCAAGGCGACGAUCUGUAGCGGGUCUGAGAGGAUGAUCCGCCACACUGGGACUGAGACACGGCCCAGACUCCUACGGGAGGCAGCAGUGGGGAAUAUUGGACAAUGGGCGGAAGCCUGAUCCAGCCAUGCCGCGUGUGUGAAGAAGGCCUUUUGGUUGUAAAGCACUUUAAGCGAGGAGGAGGCUACUGGUACUAAUACUACUGGAUAGUGGACGUUACUCGCAGAAUAAGCACCGGCUAACUCUGUGCCAGCCGCCGCAGUAAAAC